ACACGUGAUUCAGAGUUUGAUCCUGGCUCAGGACGAACGCUGGCGGCGUGCUUAACACAUGCAAGUCGAACGGAGUACCCUUGAUUGAGGCUUCGGCCAAUUUCUUGGACUACUUAGUGGCGGACGGGUGAGUAACACGUGAGUAACCUGCCCUUGAGUGGGGAAUAACACACCGAAAGGUGUGCUAAUACCGCAUAACAUAACGGAAUCGCAUGUUUCUGUUAUCAAAGAUUUAUUGCUCAAGGAUGGGCUCGCGGCCGAUUAGGUAGUUGGUGAGGUAACGGCUCACCAAGCCGACGAUCGGUAGCCGGACUGAGAGGUUGAACGGCCACAUUGGGACUGAGACACGGCCCAG
rnacentral:rRNA from 1 species